rnacentral:rRNA from 1 species
GUUAUUAAGGGCGCAUGGUGGAUGCCUUGGCAUGCUGAGCCGAUGAAGGACGUGAAAGGCUGCGUUAAGCCUCGGGGAGUUGUCAAUUGAGCGUUGAUCCGAGGAUGUCCGAAUGGGGAAACCUGGCCCUGGUUAUGUGGGGUUACCCUUCAGUGAAUUCAUAGCUGUUGUGGGGGUUUACGCGGGGAAGUGAAACAUCUCAGUACCCGUAGGAGGAGAAAAUAAUAAUGAUUCUGCUAGUAGUGGCGAACGAACGUGGAUGAGGCUAAACCGUGUGCAUGUGAUACCUGGUAGGGGUUGUGUGUGCGGUGUUGUGGGCCCUAAUUGGCGGUGACUACCAUCAUCGUGCUCGUGUGUUGUUGUUAGGUGAAGUGGUGUGGAAACGCCCACCAAAGAGGGUGAUAGUCCCGUAGUUGAAGGCUUCAAUACGCAAGUUGUUGGGUUGCCCGAGUAGCAGCGGGCUCGUGGAAUCUGCUGUGAAUCUGCCGGGACCACCCGGUAAGCCUAAAUACUCAGUGUGACCGAUAGUGUAUGAGUACCGUGAGGGAAUGGUGAAAAGUACCCCGGGAGGGGAGUGAAAUAGUUCCUGAAACCAUGUGCUUACAAUCCGUCAGAGCACCGUGUGUGUGUGAUGGCGUGCCUUUUGAAGAAUGAGCCUGCGAGUCAGCGGCAUGUCGCGAGGUUAACCCGUGUGGGGUAGUCGUAGCGAAAGCGAAUGCUAAUUGUGUGUUUAGUGGCAUGUCCUGGACCCGAAGCGGGGUGAUCUACCCAUGGCCAGUGUGAAGCAGCUGUAAGAGGUUGUGGAGGCGCGAACCCACGUAGGUUAAAAACUGCGGGGAUGAGCUGUGGGUAGGGGUGAAAGGCCAAUCAAACUCCGUGAUAGCUGGUUCUCCCCGAAAUGCAUUUAGGUGCAGCGUCAUGUGUUUCUUGCCGGAGGUAGAGC